rnacentral:lncRNA from 1 species
CCGAACUCUUUAUAUUUCUUACCAUCAUACAUGGUAAACCUUGAUAUAGGAGUGUAUAAGUAUUGUGCAUAUGCAUUAUUGCCUUCAAAAUCUAAAACAAAUACAAUAAUACAGGAAGCAUUAAACAAAUAAUACAGGAAGCAUCACACUAUACACAAUCAAUACAUCACACUUCUACACACAUGAACCAAUAAGUACAAUGCGCUCUCAAAAUCCUUCCAAGAUUUCCAAGUACCACAAAUCCAUCAAAAAGACUUCCAAAAUCUGGGUGAAGACAGUAAACCCACCUUCUAUUUCCCCUUUCUUUCAAAGUCUUCCCACCUGCAAUUGUCAAGAACAUCAAACUCAUAUACAAUUGUUCUUCAUCUUCUUCCUGUCAAUCUCAAGCAACAAAACACCCUUGAUCGACCCUUCUGCCCGUUUCAUCAUCAUGUUGGAUUAUUCCAAAUCACAAAAACAAGAAAAUAAAGCAAGAAGGUUACCUGUUACUGAUUCCGUUCAAUUUUAGGUUGAAGUUGAACCAACCAACCGCCCCACCCGAGCUGCUACUGUCGCCAGCUUCCUCCAUCACCCAUGCCACCCACCUUCCGCCUUACAACUCCCAUCUGCAACCACCAUCGAACCACCCUUGUGACUGCUUCCAACCGGAUUCUUCUUCUCGAUCAGACAAAGGCAGUGGACCGAAGUCCUUCCUCCUCCUUCGAGAGUUGAUGCCGAUCGAACCAGAAAAGAAAAGAGAUCGCCGGAGCAGCCCUUUGCUGCCGGCUCUGCCUCCCUCGACGGAGCUUUUUCGCCAACUCCGAUUCCCCACCUCUGUUUGCUUCUUCAAUUUCGUUUCUUCCCUGAUCAGUUGAAGACAAAGACCUCGGCAUCCUCUCUGUUUCUUCCCGUCGUCGUUGCUUCAGCCUCGCCGACCCCGGAGACCAUCCCUUCGCAACUCCUUCCAAGACCGAAGACGAACAGCCCCGCUGCUUCGUCUCUUUCUUCUAGUCCGAGGUCACAGCCGCCUCGCUGCUUCGACACUUCUCCUUCUUCAGCCUAGUCGAACCCCGGAGGCCGCCACCGAUUGCGAGUCGAGCGACGAACCAUCGUGCUCCCUUCUGGUCGCCGAUUGCCCCUUCGCGUCUAUGAUCGACUGCCCUUGUUCAUCUGUUCAUUUGUGACUUACUUUGGGAGCAAUUCAU